GACGAACGCUGGCGGCGUGCCUAAUACAUGCAAGUCGAGCGCAGGAAGCCGUCUGAACCCUUCGGGGGGACGACGGUGGAAUGAGCGGCGGACGGGUGAGUAACACGUAAAGAACCUGCCCAUAGGUCUGGGAUAACCACGAGAAAUCGGGGCUAAUACCGGAGGUGUCAUUGGACCGCAUGUUCCGCUGAUGAAAGGCGCUCCGGCGUCGCCCAUGGAUGGCUUUGCGGUGCAUUAGCUAGUUGGUGGGGUAACGGCCCACCAAGGCGACGAUGCAUAGCCGACCUGAGAGGGUGAUCGGCCACACUGGGACUGAGACACGGCCCAGACUCCUACGGGAGGCAGCAGUAGGGAAUCUUCCACAAUGGACGAAAGUCUGAUGGAGCAACGCCGCGUGAACGAUGAAGGCUUUCGGGUCGUAAAGUUCUGUUGUAAGGGAAGAACAAGUGCCGCAGGCAAUGGCGGCACCUUGACGGUACCUUGCGAGAAAGCCACGGCUAACUACGUGCCAGCCGCCGCGGUAAUAC
rnacentral:rRNA from 1 species